rnacentral:lncRNA from 1 species
ACACAGAGCCCCAGGCCGGGGCCAGGGCCUCAUCAAAACCCAACAGGAGUGUUUCCUGCUGGCCAGCUCGCCUGAGCUCUGGUUCGGCGCCACCCCAGGGAACCCUCCCAGCAGCCAUCAAUUAGACAACGUUACCAUCUCUCAUAUACAGAGAAGGAAACGGCGGUGUUAAGAGGGCAAAGGUCACACAGCUAGGGAGCAGGGCUGAUGCCAGAGCUCCGCUAAAGGCUGCUCUCUCAACAAGAGGAACGAUUUAAGUCUUGGGGCACGCCCUGCCAGCUCACCUUCCUGCAGCCGCACCUGCCGCAGCCGUGGGGGCCCCAGCUCUGGGCUGGACUGGUUCCCGUGGACGUAGGGCAGCAGCACGUGGGCCAUCCAUGGCCAGAGCUCCUCAGACCUGCCACAGCAUCAGUCACACGCUCCAGCCCCUACUGCCCCAUGCCCGCCUCGAGUGAGCGGCCACCAGAGACCCAGGGAACAUGGCUCCCACUGCCCUGCUGGCCACGGCUAGACCUGGGCUUCUCAGCCUUAUCCUGGGGAUGUUCUGGGGCAGACAGUUGUCUGUCAUGGGCCCGUCCUGUGCACUGCAAGACACGGACCUGUGUCCCUCCCCUCUGCCUACUGAUGCCAGCAGCACCUACCUCCAGUUCUAGCAGCCACAAAGGUAUCUACACAUGUCCACAUGUCCCCUAGGGUCUGGCUGGACUAAAGGCAAAACUAAAGCCCAGAAGACAGACCAGUGCACCGGAUGCCCGUACCGCGUGAUGGCCAGGAAGGCCCGGCUGUGCAGCUCCUGCUUGAUGGCGCUUUGCAGACGGUAGGCGUGCCCAUGGCAUGAGGCAUCCCCAUAGCUGGCCAGCAGGGUCACCAGCAGAAAAAGCAUGUACACCAGGAGGCUCUGGUGGACGGGGGGGCCCUGUGGUCAGCCUGGCCCCAGCCCACAGUGACAGCAGGGCUUUGGCAACGGCUGGAGCCAUGGCUGCGGCAGGUGUGGCUGCAGGAAGUGUGUAGGGCUCCCUGAGGCCAGAGAUCUGCUUGUGUCUCCAGGAGCCAGUGACCACCGAGGCUGUGCCACUGCAUCGGGCCACCAUGCUGAUAUGCCCGGUCCCAGAGCUGCUAGAGAAGAGGUACAGAGGCAGCGAAGACACGUUGAGGGGGAGGACGAGACCAACUGCGAGACGCCGAGUCCCGGGCUCUCAGGACGCUCUCCCGUACCUGCGCCCUCGUCAGCCCAUCACCGAAAGAACGGCCUGACCCAGGGUCACACUGCACUGAAUGCUUCCUGUUUUGCUGUCUCUCGGAGGAUAAAAGACACUCUUGGCUGGGCGCAGUGUCUCAAGCCU